rnacentral:lncRNA from 1 species
CACACAACUCUCAAUAAACAACAAUCAUAAUCUUCCAUCCAUAAUCAAUCUUCCAAUAACUUCUCAUAUAAUUCAAUCACUCAAUACUCCAAUUACAUAAUUAAUAAUUCAUAAAUCAAUCUUUGAUUUAUUCCACAGACUCACUUCUCAGUAUUCAGAAACUAUCCAUUACUCUUCAACAAUAAAGAAAACAAAGAAACAAAGAAGAAGCACCAAG